rnacentral:tRNA from 1 species
GAGGCUGUGGCUCCGUGGUAGAGCACUCGCCUAGCAUGAGCGAGGCGCUAGGAUCAAUCCUCAGCACCA